rnacentral:rRNA from 1 species
UGCAGUCGAGCGGUAGAGAGAAGCUUGCUUCUCUUGAGAGCGGCGGACGGGUGAGUAAUGCCUAGGAAUCUGCCUGGUAGUGGGGGAUAACAUUCGGAAACGGACGCUAAUACCGCAUACGUCCUACGGGAGAAAGCAGGGGACCUUCGGGCCUUGCGCUAUCAGAUGAGCCUAGGUCGGAUUAGCUAGUUGGUGAGGUAAUGGCUCACCAAGGCGACGAUCCGUAACUGGUCUGAGAGGAUGAUCAGUCACACUGGAACUGAGACACGGUCCAGACUCCUACGGGAGGCAGCAGUGGGGAAUAUUGGACAAUGGGCGAAAGCCUGAUCCAGCCAUGCCGCGUGUGUGAAGAAGGUCUUCGGAUUGUAAAGCACUUUAAGUUGGGAGGAAGGGCAGUUGCCUAAUACGUAACUGUUUUGACGUUACCGACAGAAUAAGCACCGGCUAACUCUGUGCCAGCAGCCGCGGUAAUACAGAGGGUGCAAGCGUUAAUCGGAAUUACUGGGCGUAAAGCGCGCGUAGGUGGUUUGUUAAGUUGGAUGUGAAAUCCCCGGGCUCAACCUGGGAACUGCAUUCAAAACUGACUGACUAGAGUAUGGUAGAGGGUGGUGGAAUUUCCUGUGUAGCGGUGAAAUGCGUAGAUAUAGGAAGGAACACCAGUGGCGAAGGCGACCACCUGGACUAAUACUGACACUGAGGUGCG